AUUGUGCAUUCCAUACACCCUCCGAAGCUGAGAUGCAACAAAGUAUGGAUCGAUUCUCUGCUUCUUGUGCUAAUUUUGACCUAACAAAACACCAAGAAGACACAGGUCCUCCAUCAGCCAACACUACACUAUCCAUAUGUGGAACCAUCAGUUCCAGAAAAUGGACAAAGUUGGCAUUGAUUCAUUCCACGGGAAUGUCUUUGUUACUCAAGCCAUUGUAACAAAGAUUGGCCUUGAUCUGUCCUUUGGAAGGAUGGAGAUUGCCUGGAAAAUCCUAUACCUCAUUUUUCUUCACUCCCAGUUAAUCAUAAAUAAAGCUUGCACAUGCAGUCUUAGGAUGUCAGGAAAACCCAUUCCUACCUUGAAGGAAAGCAGAAGGUUGUGACCAGAGGCUGACUACCCUGCUUCUUCAGAGAGAAGGGAUGCUGGGCUAGAAUUAUACAUCUGCUUCCUAAAAUAUUGUUGCGUUUGAAUAAGUACAUAAGUAGUUCAAUCUGAUGUCUGUAACAUAGCAAACUUGAGAUAAGGACAUGAAAGGGAUUGCCAACUUCUUUAUAUAUCAGCUUCUUCCCAGACUCUUUUUCUUUUGUUGUUGUUAUUUGUCCUUCACUUUCUUUUUUUUUUUUUUUUUUUUACUAUUUUUGUUUUUCAUAGUUACACUUAAAACAAUUUUUUUACAUUCCUUUUUUAAAACUUUACGUUUUAGAUUCUCUCCCUUCCUUCCUCCCACCCCCACUCAUUGAGAAAGCAAAAGUGAAGUUGUGGAAAACAUUUCCAUAAAACAGAUUCUUUCUCCUUUCAUGGAAUCAAUGUCUUAUUAGACAAAAUACAUUUUUUUUCUAUUUGGCUUUUACCAAUUUUACGUCAUGUAGCUAAGGGGGUACUAAGUAAAUAAUGAGGAGAAUGUCCCAUACAAUUGGUCGUUUGAGCUGAGGAUUACAUGUAUGUUAUCCUGAAAAGGGACCAUAGACUUCACAAGAUGGCUACAGAAGUUCAUAACAUAGAAAAGUUAACCCUUCCAUGCUUCAUUCUUAAAUAUAGUGAACCUUUUAUAAUAUUUAAGUCAUUGGGGGGAAAAAAAAAACUCAUGCUCUUAUUUUAUUUUGAAUAGAUAUGCCUGGCACUCAGGAAGCAUGUAAUAAAUAGAUUUUUGUGUGUGUUUCAAGGACUGGCCUUCACAUCCAUUCAUGCUUACAGAAAACAUUUAAAUUAAACCAUUGGAAUCUAUUUGAUUCUCAGUAACAGAUUACACUGAUUUUUCACCUUCGAUGAAUUUUUAGUCACAAUUUUAACCUGAGAACAAUAACUUGAAUUUGUAUAGUACUUUAUGAUUACAGAAUGUUUUGUAUGCAUCAUGUUAACUGAUCAUAGGAUUUAGAGUUGAUAAGACCCUUAGAGAUCAUCUUAAACUAUUUUGCUGAUAAAGAAACUGAGGCCUAGGAAACUUAAACUCACUGACUCUAAACUUAAUGCUCUUUCUACUCCAUCAUGCUUCCUAGAUGAUAAACCUCUGUUAAUAUUCAAUAAAUAAACUGAAAAUAUCAAUGGAUAAUAAUUAAAA